rnacentral:tRNA from 1 species
UCCCUUGUAGCUUAGCUGGUAAAGAAUCUGCCUUUAAUGCAUGAGACCUAGGUUCAAUCCCUGGUUUGGGAA